rnacentral:misc_RNA from 1 species
AAAAUAACUGCACUAAUAAUCACUUGGCGCACUCAAGUUUUGCCCACAAAACUCAUCACACAUAUUCAAGUAAUUCACGUUCAGCAGCCAUUGUUGACCAAACUGAUCCAUUUGUGAUAUAUGUGCAAACCUUAAAAAUAAAGUCAUUUUUAAAACAACAUGAAAUGAAAUAUCGGUUUCAUUGUAAUUAUAGGACCAUAUUCCACAG